rnacentral:lncRNA from 1 species
UCAUGAGAGGACUGCAAGCCCUGCCCCUUCACAUUCCUCCAAGCACUGAGAAAUCCUAUCUGGUCCCCUUCUCUGCUUUGUCAGGCUGAGGCCUGGCCUCUCUGUCCUGCAGGUGCACGGGUGUAAGAAAAGGACUGGAGCCCGUGUGAAUAAACUGCUGAGAAUCAGCCCUUCCUCCCAUGGAAAUCAUAUAUUGGCUGGGGCUCCAGGGUAUGCUUUGUGCUCCAGCGGUAAGAUUUAUUUCUUUUCCUUCUCUGUAGAAAAUUCCCCUCUCAUGGUGGCACAGGGAGAAAAUAAUGUCCUAAAAGUGGAGACAGACUGGGGCAAGCAGAUGGCUGCGAAGGCGCCAUUUCUCUGUGUGUCCAGCAGGGGGCGCCGAUGACAAGCGCGCGGGCUGCGAGGCCGCACAGACUCUUACGCAACGAUGAGGGCGCAGGCUCGCGGGCCAAGGAUGCUGACGCAGGCCUGAGUCCGGAAAAGACCCGCACAUCUGGGGCCCAAGUGGCCCAUUUCCCCAGAGGCGAGCAAGGACUCUCAGGAAUCGUCAUCCUUCCCAUGAAAUCCUGGAAACUGCUUAGUUGAGUUUCUGGUUGACUUGCGCUGCGUGCAGCUGGCAGCUGCCGGUGAACCCAGUGACACUGGUUCAGUGCUCAUGUUUGUUUUCCAAAAGGGGCUGCCCUGAUUUUUGUUUUUUUAAGACUAAAUAAUAAUAGUCAUCAUAGGCACCCUUUUCUGAACAGCCCCUCUAUGCCUUCCCGGUGCUAGGGGUUUGAUGCUGAUUGUGUAUGUUCCCCUGCUGUGUGUGUUUCAUCCUCUCAUCCUGCAGCAAGGAGCCCCACCAGUGCCUCCCAUCAGACCUCCCUGCUGUGUUCAAUGCAACUUGCUUUUAAAAGGGAGCCAGGGAGAAAGGGACGGAAGGAGGGAAGAGGAGAGGACACCAAUCCCUUCCCAGAUUCAUUCUACCUGUCAAAGCGAGAGAAAGCUUGUGUUUGGAGAAUGAACAGGAAACGAUGUUAUUUGAUUGUCUUAAAUCAGUUUCAUCUUGCUGUUAUUUUACUGUUUAAGGCUUCUGUUUGUUCUGUUUCGUUUUGUUUUCAAUUUCCCUCAAAUGCGUCAGUGAUCUCUAGAAUAUUUCUGUAUUCUAGAGAAGAUUUGUGCUUAACAGGGAGAGAAAAGGUACAAUGGGAUUAUUUCUGGUAAAUAAGGCUGCUUUUUUAAUCCCUUUGCUUUCUUAAUUUUGUUAAAAGAAAAAUUAUGAAGUUAUUUUUAAAAGAAUUAUAAGAAUUCAAAACCAGGCUUCCUUCACUGAAGACAUGUUAACUUAAAAAUCUGGAAAAUAUAGAUCUAGAAGAAAAAGCAUAAACUGCACUUACAAUCUCUUAGCCAAGCAAUAAUUGUUAUUUAAUUUAGUAUAUCAAGUAAGGAUCUUUUUCUAAUAUUCUAUAUGCUAUACUAGAAAGUGUUAUAGUAUUAUACAUAGAUUAACAAUCUAUUGUUUUCUUUACUUAAAAUAUUUUGAUAAUUUUAAAUAUUUGCGCAGUGUUUAUCAUGUGUCAUAUAAAUGUAACAAAAUACAUUCAGUUAAUUUAAUAAGGAUGGAUAUUAAAGCUAUUUUCACUAUUUUUUUCUGUUUUUCUAUUGUAAACAUCACUAGGUCAAUAACUUUUACAUACAUUUCUAUUUCCUUGGGAAAAAUCUCUAAAAGAAAAAUUGAAGAUCAGUGGAUAUUUAAAGCUACUCAGCAUGUAUUUGCAAAUGGUCUUCUAGAAGCACCGAGCCAAUUUGCGUUUUCACCAAUGGUUAGGAGCCAAUACCAGUAGAGUUCCUUUUCAUGUGCUUUGACAAUUUUAUAGGUUGCAAAUAGUAUUUUAUUGUUGUUCUAAUUUGCAUUCUUGUGUGUUUUUCUCUUGAAUUUUUCAGACUCCUUUAAGGAUCUUUCCAAAGGUCUUCAAUUUUGAUAUAAGCAACAAAGAAUAAGAGUGAGUAACAGCUAAAGAAACCAGGGAACUGUAGCGGUAGAGUGUAGCAGUGAAAAUAUUUAAGACUUGAUGAAACAAUGUCCCUUGCAUAGACCGAUGCUUUUAUAGGCACUCCGGACCUGCAGUGGACUGUUUCUGUUCUCCCAAAAUCCAUACGUUGAAAUCUAAUCUUCAAUGUGAUGGUAUCAGGAGGUAAGGCUGGGAGGUAAUCAGGUCACAAGAGUGGAGCCCCCAUGAAUGGGAUUAGUGCCCUUCUAAAAGAGGCCCCCAAGUGCUCCCUUGCCAGCUACUGGCUGAGGACACAGUGAGAAGACAGCUGUCUAUGAGCCAUGAAGUGAGCCCUCACCUGACAUCAAUUCUGCCAGCACCUUCAUUUUAAACUUUCCAGCCUCCAGAUCCGUGAGAAAUAACUUUCUGUGUUUAUAAGCCACCCAAUGUAUGUUUUGUUUUGUUUUUACAGCGGCCUGAAUAGAUUUACAGCCAAGAAAAUUAGAGAGGGGAUCCAGGGGCUAUUAGAUCAGAAAUAUUCCAUGAAGAAGGGAGCAAAGAUUCAUGUCACUGACAACUGGAGAAGAAACAGAGAAAGGGUAAUAAUAUCGUGGGACAGAAUGGAGUCCCUUCCAGAUCUUUGGAGGGCUAGCACCAUAUCCUUCCCAAUCAUUUAUUGCAAGGCUAACUAAGGUCCUGAAGAGUGGGCCCCUUCAGUCUGAGGCCAAGAGGCCGCUGACCUACCCUGAUAUAGACCAAACUGUGCUUAGUUUCCCUCUGGAAGCACCAGAAUAGCUGCACUGGUUGUACUGUGUCAUUUCAGAAUGCUGACCUCAACCCUUAGCCCAUUUGUUUGCUGACACAAUAGUUCUUUUUUUUUUUUUUUUUUUUUUUUUUGAGAAAAAUAAAUCUUUGUACUGCAGUUAGAAAUAAAGCUUAAAGAAAAAUCACUGGGAUUGGUGACAUGUUGCUUUAAGUUAAAAAAUGGCUCUGCAAGGUGGGUAUCCAAACCUUUGCAGCUGUUCUCCAUGCAAGAAGAACAACUCAAGAGCAGCAUGUCAUGGGCAGCUCCCAGGAAAGGAGGAGAGAGGCUGGAGGCACCAAACCCAUCCAAGCACUCAGUACUUGCAAAGGCGCUGGUCUCCUUUACUAUCCAAACACCUUACACUUUCUAGGAAUUCAAUACACACGGAUUAAAGCCCAACUUACUAAAACUAGUUAUUUAGCAUUAAUAAUUUGAAUCUUUAAGUUUUAGCUGGUGAAGGACUAUAUAAGUUUUUAUUUGAAAAUCAAGCGUGUUUUUCUUUCUUUCUUUCAAAUCAGGUACUCAUGAUGUGUGACAAAUGGCAUGCCUCCUGCAAGAGUUAUGAGUUAUGUGCCUAAACAGGAAGGAUCAUCUCAUUGCAGAAUUAGGGCAUCAUCCAGUGGGAAGGGAGUUUCAAGGUCAUUUAGUCCAGCCUCCGAGUGAUACAGAAAUUCUCUUUGCAGCAUCCCUAUCACGUGGCCAUCAAACUUCUACUAGUGUAUUCAUCCACACCUGGUCUGUCUAAAACCUUGAGAACAGCCCCUUGUAUAGUUCAAUAGCCCCAGCUGAAGGAAAAGUUUUUGUUAUUUUCAGUAAACAUAUUCUGUUGUGUAACUUUGGUUGAUCGGUUCCCCUUUAGCGACCCAGAAAACACUGAGCUCCCUCUGACACCCAUGCCCUUUGACUGAAAGUCAGCCAUAAAAUAGAGCACCAGAGUAACUUUCCAGAGUCCCAGAUUUGCCCCUUCGCUCCACUGCAAAUCAAAUGUGUGACCUGUGUUUCAAUUCAAUUAGCCUUUUCCUAAGGGUUUCACUGUUUCUGUUCCUGUGAGUUUCUUUUUUAAAGAUCUGUAUUUGUAUAUUUCAAGUGGAAUUUUUUUUUUUUUUAGCAAACCACAACAUUUUAUUUUAAAUUGAGAGAUAUGGUUUGAUUUUUAUUUUUAUUGUGGAAAAUUUCAAACAUACAAGAGUAGAUAUAAUAUAGUAAUGAAUGCCUUAGUAUUUGUCACCCAGGUGUAAAUAUAUCAAAUUGUGGUCAGUCUUUUUUUUUUUGAGACGGAGUCUCGCUCUGUUGCCCAGGCUGGAGUGCUGGAGUGCA